GAAUUCAAGUUGUGUGACAGGUGCAAAAAUGAGUUUUAUCCUGGUAGCAGCUUUUCUUUCCACAGGUUUCCGAAGAAUGAAAAUCAGAAAUUGAUGUGGGGAAAUGCAGUGCCUGGAAAAAUCUCAAAAUCGUCUGUUAUUUGCAGUGCGCAUUUUAAAUGUGACGACUUUAUUCCUGGUUAUAUUAGGAAAAUGCAAUGUAUAAAAACAAAUCAUUAAAUAAUUAUUGCAA